rnacentral:rRNA from 1 species
UCAUAAAAAAUUUGAAAAAUUGGUUAAUUUAUAUCUUGAAACAUCCAAGAACUUAGUAUUUGAGAUAGAAAAGUAGUGAUCUAGUUUAAUACUUCAAAAAGUACUGAAAAGGAAUAGAUAAAAUGUUAUUAAAGCAGCUAAUGCAAGCGUACUUUUUGCAUCACGGCCUAGCAAGAGCCCAGUGAAAGUUCACGUUUCUCGAAAGCCGCGUGAGCUACUUUUUUUCUGGUUUUAGUCAAAAUAAUUUAUAACUAGAAAUGUAGCAAAAUUUCAGAAAGAAAAAAAAGUAGUGAUAAAAUGUUAUUCGCACCGGCGAUAGCUAGUUUUCUUAAAAAUGUAUAGGAGUACUGAGAUAUUUUUAGCCAGAAAUUAAACACUCUAAUUAUUCUGACCAAAGUAUCUCGCAGUUAUUAAAGGAUAAGCUUUAGUAAAAGCAGGUAAAAUUAUGUAUAAAUCUUUGCAGUCAUAAUGUGGGCUUGAAGUUGGCCAUCUUUAGAAGUUUGUUACAAAAUAGUAACAAAAAAAGAGAAAAUUGUUGUACUAGUAUUACCUAAAAAAAUAAGAAUAUAGGAAUAAACUUAUAAAUUUCUACAGCCUAUGCUAGGAUGAGUAUUAAAAAUUUGAUAUAAAAUAUAACUUAGACUUAAAUUUAUAUACUAAUAGAGUUAUUCUUAGAAAAAAAUAGAGAGAAGGAACUCGGCAAAAUUAGUUGUUCCGCCUGUUUAUCAAAAACAUGGCUCCUUGAACUAAAAUAUAUAAGGAGUCGGACCUGCCCAGUGAAGUUUUUAACGGCCGCGGUACUCUGACCGUGCAAAGGUAGCAUAAUCAUUUGCCUUAUAAUUGAAGGCUAGUAUGAAUGGUUUGACGCGAGCAACACUGUCUCCUCUCUACUCUUUAGAAUUUGACUUGUGGGUGAAGAGGCCCGUAUAAGAUUGAAGGACAAGAAGACCCUAUCGAGCUUUAAGAAAAACCAGAACAUACUAUGAAAAACAGAUUACAAGCUGUAAUACUCUUUUGGUUGGGGCGACUAAGGAAUAAAAUGAGCUUCCUUUUAUGUUUCUAUACCUAUUGGUUUUGAUCCAGUAAACUGAUUAAAAAAAUUAGUUACCGUAGGGAUAACAGCAUAAUCUCCCUUGAGAGACCUUAUCGAAAGGGGGGGUUGUGACCUCGAUGUUGGACUAGGAUAUCCGAAAGGUGCAGAAGCCUUUAAAGGUUGGUCUGUUCGACCAUUAAAAUCCUACAUGAUCUGAGUUC